UACACAUGCAGUCGACGAGAGUUUUUACUCUAGUGGCGGACGGGUAAGUAACACGUGAGAAUUUGCCUUUAGGAGGGGGACAACAAUCGGAAACGAAUGCUAAUACCCCAUAUGCUUUCGAGUGAAAUGGAUUUUAUCCGCCUAGAGAGAGGCUCGCGGCUGAUUAGCUUGUUGGUAAGGUAAGAGCUUACCAAGGCGACGAUCAGUAUCUGGUUUGAGAGGACGAUCAGACACACUGGAACUGAGACACGGUCCAGACUCCUACGGGAGGCAGCAGUGGGGAAUUUUCCGCAAUGGGCGAAAGCCUGACGGAGCAAUACCGCGUGAGGGAAGAAUGCCUAUGGGUUGUAAACCUCUUUUUUCAGGGAGGAAUCAAAUGACGUGUACCUGAAGAAUAAGCAUCGGCUAACUCCGUGCCAGCAGCCGCGGUAAGACGGAGGAUGCAAGUGUUAUCCGGAAUCACUGGGCGUAAAGCGUCUGUAGGUGGUUUAAUAAGUCAACUGUUAAAUCUUGAUGGCUCAACUUCAAAAUCGCAGUCGAAACUAUUAGACUAGAGUAUAGUAGAGGUAAAGGGAAUUUCCAGUGGAGCGGUGAAAUGCGUAGAUAUUGGAAAGAACACCGAUGGCGAAAGCACUUUACUGGGCUAUUACUAACACUCAGAGACGAAAGCUAGGGUAGCAAAUGGGAUUAGAUACCCCAGUAGUCCUAGCUGUAAACAUGGAUACUAGAUGUUGACAGAUCGACUGUGCAGUAUCAAGCU
rnacentral:rRNA from 1 species